UACAGAGGUCUCAAGCGUUGUUCGGAUUCAUUGGGCGUAAAGGGUGCGUAGGCGGCGCGGUAAGUCGGGUGUGAAAUCUCGGGGCUUAACUCCGAAACUGCAUUCGAUACUGCCGUGCUUGAGGACUGGAGAGGAGACUGGAAUUUACGGUGUAGCGGUGAAAAUGCGUAGAUAUCGUAAGGAAGACCAGUGGCGAAGGCGGCGACCUGGGGUAGAUACUGACGCUGAGGUGCGAAAGCGUGGGGGAGCAAACAGG
rnacentral:rRNA from 1 species